GGCCUUGACAUGUCUGGAAUCCUGCAGAGAUGCGGGAGUGCCUUCGGGAAUCAGAACACAGGUGCUGCAUGGCUGUCGUCAGCUCGUGUCGUGAGAUGUUGGGUUAAGUCCCGCAACGAGCGCAACCCUUGUCCUUAGUUGCCAGCACGUAAUGGUGGGAACUCUAAGGAGACUGCCGGUGACAAACCGGAGGAAGGUGGGGAUGACGUCAAGUCCUCAUGGCCCUUAUGGCCAGGGCUUCACACGUAAUACAAUGGUCGGUACAGAGGGUUGCCAACCCGCGAGGGGGAGCCAAUCCCAGAAAGCCGAUCGUAGUCCGGAUUGCUCUCUGCAACUCGAGAGCAUGAAGCCGGAAUCGCUAGUAAUCGCGGAUCAGCAUGUCGCGGUGAAUACGUUCCCGGGCCUUGUACACACCGCCCGUCACACCAUGGGAGUGGGUUCCACCAGAAGUAGUUAGCCUAACCGCAAGGAGGGCGAUUACCACGGUGGGAUUCAUGACUGGGGUGAAGUCGUAACAAGGUAGCCGUAUCGGAAGGUGCGGCUGGAUCACCUCCUU
rnacentral:rRNA from 1 species